UACGUAGGGUGCUAACGUUGUUCGGAAUCACUGGGCAUAAAGAGCGCGUAGGCGGUCUGAUAAGUCAGGUGUGAAAUCCCCCGGCUCAACCGGGGAACUGCACCUGAUACUGUUGGGCUUGAGUGCAGGAGGGGAGAGCGGAAUUCCUGGUGGAGCGGUGAAAUGCGUAGAUAUCAGGAGGAACGCCGGCGGCGAAGGCAGGUCUCUGGGCCGAUACUGACGCUGAGGAGCGAAAGCGUGGGGAGCGAACAGG
rnacentral:rRNA from 1 species